rnacentral:rRNA from 1 species
UACGUAGGGACCAAGCGUUGUUCGGAUUUACUGGGCGUAAAGGGCGCGUAGGCGGCGCGGUAAGUCACUUGUGAAAUCUCUGAGCUUAACUCAGAACGGCCAAGUGAUACUGCAGUGCUAGAGUGUGGAAGGGGCAAUCGGAAAUUCUUGGUGUAGCGGUGAAAUGCGUAGAUAUCAAGAGGAACACCUGAGGUGAAGACGGGUUGCUGGGCCAACACUGACGCUGAUGCGCGAAAGCCCAGGGGGAGCAAACAGG